rnacentral:lncRNA from 1 species
UUUUUUUUUUUUUUUUUUUUUUUGGUUUCCUUUUUUGACUGGUAAUCUGCUUCCUCUGAUCAUAGGUAAGAUGCCCACUGGCAUCACAGCAUAGACCUUCAAGGUCUUGGGUCUUUGUGGCUUUUGUGUCAGGUUAGGGAUAUGUGGAAACUUGGUGGGAACUUUGAACCCCAGGUGGGGUCCCUUCCAGGCCCUUGAGGGCCAUAGGUGACAACAGAGUAUAGUGAUUAAGGCACUGGCUCUUAGAGUUUGAAUCCUGGGUCUGUUACUAGGAAGUCGUAGACAUUGGGAAACUUGAGAAAGUUACUUAACCACCCAAUGCCUGUUUUCCCAUCUGUAAAAUGGGCAUAAUAACAUAUCUACUUAUAAUAUUGUUUUAAGGAUUAAAUGAAAACACACACACACACACAUUUGUAUAAAUAGAUAUUUUCCCCAUAAAAGUACUUUGUGUUAGUUACAUUGCCAUCACAAUUUUUUUUUUUUUUUGGUCUUUUUAGGGCCACACCCUUGGCAUAUGGAGGUUCCCAGACGAGGAGUCAAAUCAGAGCUAUAGUCGCUGGCCUAUACCACAGCCACAGCAAGGCGAGAUCCCAGCCGCGUCUGUGACUUACACACAGCUCAGGGCAAUGCUGGACCCUUAACCCACUUAGCGAGGCCAGGGAUCGAAUCUGCAUCCUCCUGGAUUCUAGUCAGAUUCCUUUCCACUGAGCCAUGGUGGGAAGAACACCAUCACAUUAUUUAUUAGUCCUUCCCUUUGAGGUCUAGUCUCCGAGGAUAGGUGCACCCUUUUUCUAUGAUAUGGCCUAGGAAUAUUGCUCCUAGCUUCUCACAAGCCUUCUUCCUUCUCACCUUAGACACUCAGUGAGUUUCUAUUUUUCAAAAGCCCAGAAUAGCUGCUGACAUUAGGUUUCUGACCUGGUCCUCCAGUACCAGGCUCAAUCUCAGGAAGAAGGAAUUACAAUACUUUGAGUGGGUGGUAGAGAAUGUAAGGCACAUGCUACAGUCUCCGAACUCACUCGUCUCAAGUACCAUGAAGAACCGGUACAGGGCACUACAAGAAGGUGUGACACAAACCCUCGUGACAACUCCAUGAAGCAGGCGUGUGAUGCCUCACCAAAGGUUACAGAGGCAGACAGACCCUAAACUAGGCUUUCUAGGGGGCAAUCAGGGAGAGGGAGGAUUCAGAAACACUGACUCUUUUUUUUUUUUGUCUUUUUGCCAUUUCUUGGGCUGCUCCUGCGGCAUAUGGAGGUUCCCAGGCUAGGGGUCUCAUCAGAGCUGUAGCUGCCGGGCUACGCCAGAGCCAUAGCAACGUGGGAUCCGAGCCAAGUCUGCGACCUACACCACAGCUCAUGGCAACGCCGGAUCCUUAACCCACUGAGCAAGGCCAGGGAUCGAACCCACAACCUCAUGGUUCCUAGUCGGAUUUGUUAACCACUGCGCCACGACGGGAACUCCCAGAAACACUGACUCUUUAGAUUAACAAAUUAGCAACAAUUGUAAAGGACAAUUUUGAAAAUGGGAAAAACAACCUCACCAACCACACAGUUGGUUUCAUUUUUAUAUUCUCUCAGAGUCCCUACACAUGGCUGUAUUUUGACACAACUGUAAUUGUGGUGUACAGACCAUUUUGCAUGGGGCUUUUUUUUUUUGUUUUGUUUUGCUUUUUAGGGCCGCACCUGUGGCAUAUGGAGGUACUCAGGCUAGGGGUCAAAUUGGAGCUUUAGCUGCUGGCCUACACCACAGCUCACAGCAACACUGGAUCCUUAACCCACUGAGCGAGGCCAGGGAUGGAACCUGCAACCUCAAUGGUUACUAGUCAGAUUCAUUUACCACUGCGCCAUGAUGGGAAUUCCACAUGGGGCCUUUUUUACUUACUGUAUUAUCAUUGGCCUUUCCAUAAUCUUUGUUUAAAGAUUUAUUUUAUUGUAGUAGAGAUGAUUUACAAUGUGUUAAUUUCUUCUGCACAGCAGUGAUUCAGCUGUAUAUAUGUUUACAUUUUUUCAUAUUUUUCUAUGGUUUAUCACAGGAUAUUGGAUAUAGUUCUCUGUGCUACAUAGUAGUCCAUAAUCUUUAUAAUCAGCCUUUCCAGCUACUGCAAGAGAUUCUUUGUGAGGUGGGCCAUGAUUUGCUAAGCUAUUCUUCUAUAACCAGGCUUUGGUACUUUCACUUUUUUUUCUAUCAUAAAUAAUGUUGCAGAGCAUCCUUUGCCAAAAAUCUAUUGACCUCUGCUGAGUCCAAAAGGUAAAUUCUCAGGAGGCAGAGAUUACCAGUUGAGACACAAUGUAGUAGGAAGACCAUAAGGCUGUGAACUGGGCUGGAAUUUGGCUUCAUUUCCCAGUGGGGCCUCAAGUCAGUGUUUUGUGGAUCAAGACUUAGAAGUGGAUCCACUGUCUCUGUCAGCACUGUUAAAAAGAAAAAUUGAAGAGACUACAUUGCCUAUAGAAAUGUUAAAACAUCUUAAGUGUGGGCAUUUGUGUACUGGCUUGUGGUGUAAAAUGCAUUUUCUUUUACUCUGGGUUGUGUGCAAAACAAGUUGGAAAAAUGCUCCUUUAACCUUUCUGAAUUUUCUUUCCCUUAUCUGUAAAAUGGGGCAGGAACCUGGGUUUAUUAAGACUAUUGUGAACACGUGUUCAAACUCGAUCCUUCCACCCAUCCACGUUCACUCCACUGCCCCACCACCCCAGCCCCAGGCACUAGUAUCUCUUGUAGGACAGCUGCAACGGCCCCUAACCACCUGCUCCUUCACCCAGACCCGCUACUAUUCAUUUUCAGCUCAGGAAGAGGAAUCGUCUUAAAACCUAAUUCAGCUUGUGUCACUCCUUUGCUUAAAUUCUUGCAAUGAUUUCCCAUUCCCCUAUCACCUCAGAGUUAGGACAGAAAAGUUCAACCCCUUCUCCAUGGCCUGCAAGGCCCUUCACUCAACCUCUUGAAUCUCUUCGCACGCCCCUUUUCUCACUCACCCUCUAAGUCCAGUCAACUUCCUGAGGCAGGAGGUUGCUUCUGGAACACGCUUCUUGCGGAUCUUCCCAGGCCAUCUCCUUCUUACCAUCCAGGUCUCUCAAGUGGUCGCCAUAGAGAGGUCCUCUAGGACUGCUCAUCUCCCCGUCCCCACGCUUUGGCCCAUCCCUUCUUUUCAAUCUCCCCUUUCCGCUCCUAGCGCUCAGUGGAACUCUGUUGCCUCACUUCUCAUGGCCGUGUUCAAUGUCUGGCUCCCCCACAGACAGUAAGCCCAGGAUGGCGGAGAGGCGCCCGUCCGGUCCCUGCCGCACCCCGGAUCGCGGGGCGUCCCUGCCUAGGUCUCCGAUCUGCCCGGAAGAGCCCAGCUACCUCCACAGCCCUUACCGCCUAGACCCUGCCGCCCGGGCGGGCGCCGGUGUUUACGU